rnacentral:lncRNA from 13 species
AUGCAGGAAGCUUCUAAGUGCAAGAUUGGGUCGUUGGGACAGCAGCAACAGCAUUGCUCACAUCUGAAAGCCCAAAUGUUGAGAGUAGUUAACACUUCACCACAAUCAGCUCUGACUAGAGAAAGAGAAAAACUAAGUACUUGGUGGCAGCAUCACAAUCCAGGAGCACCCCAGUCGGCACACAAUAGCGAAAGUAGAUCUUGCCCCACUGUUGGCUUUUCUUUGUUAAAAGUCUCCUUUCCUGAAACAAAACAGCAUUGAAAUUAGGCCAAUUAACAACUGUGCAAGACCAAGUAUUCAAGUAAAAGGAAGAGUCUCACAUCUUUCACUUUAAAUCAAAAGCUCAAGUUGAACUUUUUAAAAUGAUUCAGCUUAGUAAAGAAGGCAUGUUGAAAAACAAAACAGAUCAAGGCUUGGCCUCUUGCAUCAAAUACUUAGUCAAGUUGUGAAUUGAAUGAAAAGGAAAAGUUCUUGAAAGAAAUCAAAGUUCUACUCCAGAACUUUUUGUGUGAACACACAAAUGAUAAGAAAAUGAAAUAGGCUUAUUGCUAAUAUGAAGAAAGGUUUAGGGAUCUGGAUAGAUCAAACCAGUCACAAUAUUCCCUUAAACAAAACACUAAUACAGAACAAGGCACUAAUUUUCCUCAAUUCUAUGAAGUGGUAAGGAAACCAUAGAAGAAAAGUUUGAAGCUAGCAGAGGUUUUGUUCAGGUUUAAGAGAAGACGCAGUCUCUGUUACACAAACAUGCAAAGUGAAGCUGCAAGUGCUGAUGUAGAAGCUGCAUCGUUACCCAGAAGAACUAGCAAGGAUAAUUUUAUGAUGGUAGCUACACUAUACAUGCAAAAAGUUGAAGUAGACAAAACAACCUUAUGAUAGUGGAAGAUGCCAUCAAGAACUUUCAUAGCUACAGAGAAGUCAAUGUCUGACUUCAAAGCUUCAAAGGACAGGCUGACUCUCACACUAGAAGCUAGUGCAUCUGGUGACUCUAAGUGAAAGUCAAUUUUCAGCUACCAUUCCAAAAUCAAGGUCCCUCAAUAAUCAUGGUAAAUCUACCAUACCUGUGCUCUAUACAUAGAUAGAUGUAUAGAGCAAAGCCUAGAUGACAGCACAUCUGUCUACAUCAUGAUUUGCUGAAUAUUUUAAGCCCACUGUUAAGAACCUACUGCUCAGAAAUAAAAGAUCCCUUUCAAAAUAUUACUGAUCA